rnacentral:lncRNA from 12 species
AUGGGGCGCCUGCUCAGCAGGGAGUCUGCUUCUCCCUCUCUCUCUGGACCUCCCUGCUUGUGCUCUUUCUCUUUUUCAUUUAAGUUUAAAAGAAAAAAAAAAAACACUUUUAAGGAUAAAAAGGAGCCCCAAACCCCCCUCCCUCCCUCUCUCCUUUAUCCACAUCCCCUCUCGGCACCCCCCAGACGGCUCUGGAGACCCCAGCAGGUUAACAAAGAGGGAAAAGUUCUCUCCAGAACUCUCCUGAAACUCUCCAGCAGCCUGCACUUCUCAGGAUCUAGCCCAAGGGUACGUGGCUUCUGUUAUCCAAGCGAAGCUCCGAUGGUGUGGAGGUCUGUCCCACAUCAAGAGGCAGUUCACCCCACAAAAAAUAUGGCCAGGGAAGCUUCCAGAACCCAGCCUGGGGAGGACUCAGCCCCAGCGCAGCAGGUCAGUCAACAGGAGGAGGAGAAAGAGUUCAAAGAUACUGUCAUGGAAGAUAUAAUAAGACACCGGAGGAAGAAUCUGCACACCGGAGCUUCCGCCUACCCUAAGUCCCUACGUCGUGGAUAUGUGCUUUUUUUCCCCGGCAAAGCACACUCAGGCAGAGAGAGAAUGGCAGACCCCGAGGGCGCAGGUGCGUGGGGGUGGGGGUGGGGUCAGGCUGGGGGUAGGAAGACCAGCCAGAAGGUACUGCAAUAGUCCAAGCUAGAUACAUAGGGAAAGAGAAACAGAUUGAUGAUGUAUUUAAAAGAUGGAAACAACGAAAUAAUCGCUAAAGAGGCUAAUUCAGGGUUGCUCUUACAAGUGUUCAGGGUGCCAUAUCCAAGGGAGUGCUAUCGGCGAUAUAGACAUUUCCUUAUUUCAAAACAUUGUGUUUUGAAAUAAGCUGUUUAACUUCAUAGACAAGAAUUGUGUGUUUACUACAACUUUGGCAGAUGGUAGGGAAGUCUCUUGUGACUAAAUUUGUAUAUUUUGACAGUUUUCUGACGGAAUUAAAUGUCUUAUUCAAACAGAGUCCUUGUUUACUACGGUAAUUAUUAAGAAAUGAUAUGCUUAUUUAUAAAUGUUUAACUUGAAGAAGAGACACCAUUUUCUCAUUCAUGGAAAGGCCAGGGGUCACCCCAGGCUAAUUGGCUGUGGAAUGUCUGGGGUCACAGCACUUCUAGAGGCCUUCAUGAGACAGAGCUGUGGAAGGCCCCUGUUGGGGGGUGUGUGAGAUGAACACUUUAGUUUGGGGACACUCAGUCUAAGACCAUAGAGACAGAGUAGGCAGAGAAGUCCAAAAGGUCAUGACUAACCCGUCCUCCCUGUGUUAUUCAUACCCAUACUGGAAACAACUGAAAUCAAAUAGGAUAAAAAUGAUUCCUUCUUCUCGAAAGCAUCCAGAAAGCAACAAAGCAGUAAGGAAACACCAGGCCAGAGCAAGAACCGAAAUGCAAGCAGGAAGGUCUUCCCUAGGGCGGGUGUGUGACCCUCUGGGAGGAUGAGAACCUCUGCUUUGCAGCCUCCCUGGGAGAGGGGAUCAGUGGGAAGCCCAAUGGGAAGUGUUAGAGCAAAACUGCCAUGGACUAACUUACCCCACCAGGGAAGACUCUGAUAGUGGGCAGGAGAGGCCAGCCCCUGAAGCGCUGGCAGGGGCUGGGAGGAUUGGUGGGGGGCAUGCAGACCUGCUGGCCGGUUCUCUUCCAUUCCUGAUCCC